GACGAACGCUGGCGGCGCGCUUAACACAUGCAAGUCGAGCGAAGCGGCGGACGGGUGAGUAACACGUGAGUAACCUGCCUUAGACAUUGGGAUAGCCUCGGGAAACCGGGAUUAAUACCAAAUGGUCUAAGAUGGAGUCGCGUCCCAUUAGCUAGCUGGUGAGGUACCGGCCACCCAAGGCGACGAUGGGGGGCCGGCCGGGGAAGGUGAACGGCCACAUUGGAAAUGAGAAACGGUCCAAGCUCUACGGGAGGCAGCGGUGGGGAAUAUUGCACAAUGGAGGGAACUCUGAUGCAGCGACGCCUCGUGAACGAAGAAGGCUUUCGAGUCGUAAAGUUCUUUUAUAUGGGAAGCGGUACCAUAAGAAAAAGCCCCGGCUAACUACGUGCCAGCAGCCGCGGUAAUUC
rnacentral:rRNA from 1 species